rnacentral:rRNA from 1 species
CCUACGGGGGGCAGCAGUGGGGAAUAUUGGACAAUGGGGGCAACCCUGAUCCAGCCAUGCCGCGUGUGUGAAGAAGGCCCUCGGGUUGUAAAGCACUUUCAGUGAGGAAGAACGCCUGGUGGUUAAUAUCCAUCAGGAAAGACAUCACUCACAGAAGAAGCACCGGCUAACUCCGUGCCAGCAGCCGCGGUAAUACGGAGGGUGCGAGCGUUAAUCGGAAUUACUGGGCGUAAAGCGCGCGUAGGUGGCUUGAUAAGCCGGUUGUGAAAGCCCCGGGCUCAACCUGGGAACGGCAUCCGGAACUGUCAAGCUAGAGUGCAGGAGAGGAAGGUGGAAUUCCCGGUGUAGCGGUGAAAUGCGUAGAGAUCGGGAGGAAUACCAGUGGCGAAGGCGGCCUUCUGGACUGACACUGACACUGAGGUGCGAAAGCGUGGGUAGCAAACAGGAUUAGAUACCCUUGUAGUC